GGGCUUGUAAUGGUUUCGACAGGGAUCAUGAAGCUGGAGAAGCGAGUCGCACGGGAUGCGUCAAAUUCCAAAAUUAAAAUUAAACGCUGAAGAUAAUUUAGCAUACGCUGCCUAAUGGCAGCAGUCUGACCUAGAGCACUCACACUUUAGGACCCAGGCUUCGACUAUGUGAGAAACGACGCAGGCAAGGCUUUGAGCCUGCGGGCGUACGAUGAAGCUACUGAAACCGGAACUGUGCCUACGCAGGUCUGGCAGAGGGAAUGUUAAAACAUAGGAUACGCUCGUAGAAGGACAGGGGAUUGGUUUUUGGACACGGGUUCGACUCCCGUCAGGUCCACUC
rfam:Roseburia intestinalis XB6B4 draft genome.